rnacentral:rRNA from 1 species
AACGAACGCUGGCGGCAUGCCUAACACAUGCAAGUCGAACGAGACCUUCGGGUCUAGUGGCGCACGGGUGCGUAACGCGUGGGAACCUGCCCUUAGGUUCGGAAUAACUCCCCGAAAGGGGUGCUAAUACCGGAUAAUGUCUUCGGACCAACGAUUUAUCGCCUUUGGAUGGGCCCGCGUUGGAUUAGCUAGUUGGUAGGGUAAAAGCCUACCAAGGGGACGAUCCAUAGCUGGUCUGGGAGGAUGGUCAGCCACCCUGGGACUGGGACCCGGCCCAGACUCCUACGGGAGGCAGCAGUGGGGAAUAUGGGACGAUGGGCGAAAGCCUGAUCCAGCAGUGCCGCGUGAGUGAUGAAGGCCUUAGGGUUGUAAAGCUCGUUUACCCGGGAGGAUAAUGACAGUACCGGGAGAAUAAGCUCCGGCUAACUCCGUG